UGGGGAAUCUUGCACAAUGGGCGCAAGCCUGAUGCAGCGACGCCGCGUGGGGGAUGAAGGCCUUCGGGUUGUAAACCCCUUUCGGCGGGGACGAAGCGAAAGUGACGGUACCCGCAGAAGAAGCCCCGGCUAACUACGUGCCAGCAGCCGCGGUAAGACGUAGGGGGCGAGCGUUGUCCGGAUUUAUUGGGCGUAAAGCGCGCGCAGGCGGCCGACCAAGUCGGAUGUGAAAACCUGGGGCUCAACCCCGGGCCUGCAUCCGAUACUGGCCGGCUCGAGGCAGGUAGGGGAGAUCGGAAUUCCUGGUGUAGCGGUGAAAUGCGCAGAUAUCAGGAGGAACACCGGUGGCGAAGGCGGAUCUCUGGGCCUGUCCUGACGCUCAGGCGCGAAAGCCAGGGGAGCGAACGG
rnacentral:rRNA from 1 species